CGGCGGAGGAGGAGGUCGGGCUCUCCGCAGCCCCGGGACGGAGCCCCGCGGACGCCCCGUGCGGUGCCCCGGGCAGCCCAGGCCGGGCGAGAUUUUUGUCCACUCUGCUGGUGGGUCUUUGGAAACCAGCCAGGAAUGAGUGUGUACAUGAGAACCUUCAGAUGUUAACAUAAGAACGGCCGUCCUGGGUCAGAGCAAAGG